rnacentral:lncRNA from 1 species
AAGCAAUGUUCUCCUGAGGUUGAAGCAGAUGUGUGUGGCUCUCCUCCUGACUCUCUAUUUUGAGACUCUAAGUUGAGAGCACAAAGUGAAUGGCGAUUUUUACAGCCCAGAAUGCUAAGUACUGAAUGGCACAAUAUUACUAUGGAUUCUAGAAAAAAGAGGUACAAGGUGUUGUAACAUGAGAGCUGCAUUGACUAUCUGACCAUCAAUAAGUUGGUAGUGCUCAGAUGGUGUGUUAUUCUCAGUGUUAUGGAUCUUGCUCAUGUCUGACUCAUUUCUUCUGCAUUUUCACAGAAUCAUAGAACCAUUAUGGUUGGAACAGACCUCUAAGAUCAUCUAGUCUGACCAUCAACACAUCAUCAGAGAUUUGCAUUGCUCAUCCUUCUGGACUCCAAGGUCUGAAGAAAUCAAACUUCUCUUUGAUGUUCUAUUUUGGCUACUGCCCUUAGAAGCCUCAGAAGAACCAGAACACCCUACUGGGAUCAUUCUUACUUGCCCUCAAUGCGAUGUCAAAAUUUUUGAGGGGAAGGCACAACUUUCUUUUUAGUAGACCUUGUUGCAUUUUUCUGGCAUCCAUUUCUUUCGUUGUUCUUUGAACCCAGUUAAGCGUUCUAGUAUCAGAAAGCAAUCUGGACAAAGUGUUUACUGGAUUCUAA